rnacentral:rRNA from 1 species
CUUUAUGGCCAUACCACCCUGAAUGCACCUGAUCUCAUCUGAUCUCGGAAGCUAAGCAGGGUCGGGCCUGGUUACGAGCCCUUUGUCAGUUAUGCUUGUUGCACGUACCUUCUUUUACUCUGUGGGUUACCUUAAAUA